UGUUCGUUUUGGCGAGUUUGAACGUUUUUGAGCAUGUGUAAUGGCAUGAAUUCGUUAAGCUGUUGUUUUAGUGUUCUUUUGAUGAGUUUGGCUUGUUGUUAUGAAAAGUGUUUGUUUUGGCGAGUUUGAACGUUUUUGAGCAUGUGUAAUGGCAUGAAUGUGUUGAAUUGGUAAUCCCUUGUGUUAAGCCAUUGUUUUAGUGUUCUUUUGAUGAGUUUGGCUUGUUGUUAUGAACAUUGUUUGUUUUGGUGAGUUUGAACGUUUUUGAGCAUGUGUAAUGCAUGAAUGCGUUAAGCUGUUGUUUUAGUGUUCUUAUGAUGAGUUUGGCUGGUUGUUAUGAAAAGUGUUUGUUUUGGCGAGUUUGAACGUUUUUGAGCAUGUGUAAUGGCAUGAAUGCGUU